CGUCCUACGGGAGGCAGCAGUGAGGAAUAUUGGUCAAUGGUCGGGAGACUGAACCAGCCAAGCCGCGUGAGGGAGGAAGGUACAGAGUAUCGUAAACCUCUUUUGUCAGGGAACAAAGGCGGGGACGUGUCCCCGGAUGAGUGUACCUGAAGAAAAAGCAUCGGCUAACUCCGUGCCAGCAGCCGCGGUAAUACGGAGGAUGCGAGCGUUAUCCGGAUUUAUUGGGUUUAAAGGGUGCGCAGGCGGUCUGGUAAGUCAGCGGGCAAAUCCCGGGGCUCAACCCCGGCCCGUCGUUGAAACUGGCG
rnacentral:rRNA from 1 species